rnacentral:rRNA from 1 species
UACGGAGGGUGCAAGCGUUAAUCGGAAUUACUGGGCGUAAAGCGCGCGUAGGUGGUCGAGUGAGUCUGAUGUGAAAGCCCCGGGCUUAACCUGGGAACUGCAUUGGAUACUGCUUGACUCGAGUGUGGUAGAGGGUGGUGGAAUUCUAGGUGUAGCGGUGAAAUGCGUAGAUAUCUGGAGGAACCCCAAUGGCGAAGGCAACCACCUGGGCCAACACUGACACUGAGGUGCGAAAGCGUGGGGAGCAAACAGG